CAGACACAGACACAGACACAGACACAGACACAGACACAGACACACACACCUGCCCCAAACGGGUCUCUAUCUCAGUAUGAUAAAGUAAAGAUGUGUCCAUGAUUGUGUCUGUGCUACAACCAGGUACACUGUACCAUAACCCAGAUUCUUGUAGCCAUAGACAGGCAAUACGCGACAUCUUUAACAAGUCUUCUCACAACUUCUUCUUCCCUCAUUCUUUGCCUAUGGACAAACCCUCUGCUGCAGAGGUAGGAGAGAGAUGCAUGCAGGGGACUACAAGAGACCCACACAGAGGUUCAGUGAGAGGUUCAGUGAGAGGUUCACACAGAGACUUAAGGUACACAGAGCAGCUGACUCCCUGCACCUACAGAUGGGGCACAGAUACUUAAGGUACACAGAGCAGCUGACUCCCUGCACCUACAGAUGGGGCACAGAUACUUAAGGUACACAGAGCAGCUGACUCCCUGCACCUCCCACACAGAUGGGGCACAGAGACUUAAGGUACACAGAGGCACUGGCUGCCAAUCGGCUUAAUGGACUGAGUAAGAGUUCUGAGAGCAAAUAACAUCAGACGAUCCAAGGGCAAUGCGCUACCCCAUGCAAAAUGUUCAGGCCCUAUUUUGAGAUCUUUUGGGGUCCAAGGUUUUGCUAAGGACAAUUAAUGAUCGAAAUCGGUCCAGUAUUGUGUUAGAACGCUAAAACAGGCAACUGCAGGACGGCUAUGCAAUGGACCCCUAUGAGGCAAGCCAGCAUGUCAAAGCAAAGCGCUUGUUUUGGUCACUGACCAGAUGAUAAAUAUUAUUGUAACGGUCUGACGACAUGGAAAGGAUCCCUACAGAGAUACACCUGUGUCAGGUUACCUAAAUAACUCUACACUGCAGGAAAUGUUUUUACAGUCAGUGUUUUACCCGUCUGACAGAGCACCCUACUCAGUGCCUGUAGUCCAUCAUGGAAGGGAGGCGCUCUCCUUUAAGUGCCCAUCCCAGCAGCCCCACAGGGUAGGCCAAUACAGGCUUUAGAAUAGGUCUCAUCUCAUUCAACUCCAAUCCACCAUGGAACAGACCAAAGAUUCCUCCAUUGUUCUGAUGAUGCUAUAUAUUCCUCCUGAUGUUGAUGUUUACUUCCCUAUGUUCAGCAGAGCUUCUCCUGCUUUAGUGCUCACACCACCCCUCAUCUUCCAACACAGCCACACACCUCCUUCAGGGCGCUGGAAACACACACACACACACACACACACACACACACACACACACACACACACACACACACACACACACACACACACACACA
ensembl:lncRNA